GAAUCUAUAGUUUAUUUAGAAUAUCUCUUUUACAAUGAGAUGGUGUUAUGAUUUU
rnacentral:tRNA from 1 species